rnacentral:misc_RNA from 1 species
GAUGAAGAACGCAGCGAAAUGCGAUAAGUAAUGUGAAUUGCAGAAUUCAGUGAAUCAUCGAAUCUUUGAACGCACAUUGCGCCCCCUGGUAUUCCGGGGGGCAUGCCUGUUCGAGCGUCAUUUCAACCAUCAAGCCCCCGGCUUGUGUUGGGGACCUGCGGCUGCCGCAGGCCCUGAAAACCAGUGGCGGGCUCGCUAGUCACUCCGAGCGUAGUAAUACAUCUCGCUCAGGGCGUGCUGCGGGUUCCGGCCGUUAAAAAGCCUUAUUUACCCAAGGUUGACCUCGGAUCAGGUAGGAAGACCCGCUGAACUUAAGCAUAUCAAUAAGCGGAGGA